UGCAUUGGCUGUCGUCAGCUCGUGUCGUGAGAUGUUGGUUAGUCCCGCAACGAGCGCAACCCCUAUCUUUAAUUACCAUCAUUCAGUUGGGCACUUAGAGAGACUGCCGGUGUUAAGCCGGAGGAAGGUGGGGAUGACGUCAAGUCCUCAUGGCCUUUAUGUCUAGGGCUACACACGUGCUACAAUGGGUGGUACAAAGAGCAGCUAACUCGCGAGAGUAUGCAAAUCUCAAAAAGCCAUCCUCAGUUCGGAUUGGAGUCUGCAACUCGACUCCAUGAAGUUGGAAUCGCUAGUAAUCGCGGAUCAGCAUGCCGCGGUGAAUACGUUCCCGGGCCUU
rnacentral:rRNA from 1 species